GCCUGGGAUAGCUCAGGCGGUAGAGCAUGAGGCUUUUGAUCUCAGGGUUGUGGGUUCGAGUCUCACGUGGGGCA